UUUUUUUUUUUUUUGAGAAGGAGUCUUGCUCUGUUGCCCAGGCUGGAGUGCAGUGGUAUGAUCUCUGCUCACUGCAACCUCUGCCUCUAGGGUUCAAGUGAUUCUUCUGCCUCAGCCUCCCGAGUAGCUGGGAUUACAGGCCUCUGCCACUAUGCCUGGCUAAUUUUUGUGUUUUGAGUAGAGAUGGGGUUUCACCAUGUUGACCAAGCUGGACUCGAACUCCUGACCUCAGGUGAUCUGCCCACCUCAGCUUCCCAAAGUGCUGGGAUUACAGGCGUGAGCCACUGCUCCCGGCCAGGACAUAUUCUUUAUUUGCUCAGUGUUUGGGACACUAUGACAGCAAAGCUGUCUUGGGAAACCUAAAAUUUUAUGGAAAGUGGCUUUGGAAUUAAUGACAUCACUGUUAGUCAUCCCGUAUCUUUGAAUACCGAGUACCUGGAGCAGGUGGUUGGUUCUCCUCCUCACAACCUCUGAAAGUUUUUGCUCUUCAUACCAAGGCAUAAUGGGGGCAGGAGGAGGAGCAGAGACUAUGAAAUAGUAGGAACAGAGACUGUGAAAUAAAUAUUCAGAAAUCUGGCAUUUAGGCCAGACUAGCUUCUUCCCCUGAGAUUAUAGUGAUAUCUGGGAGAAUGCUUGGUUGUUUAAAGUAUUUCUUAAAACCCCAAGUUUGCUCAGGUGUCAAAGACUCAUUCCUUUAGGACACGGUCAUGAGAAAGUCUAUUUCAGCCACACAGGAUAAAUAGCAGACGAUUGAAGCACACAGAAGACAGGUAGAGCUUCCAAGAGGGAGGAAUUUUCUUCUCUGGGCACAAACGUUUUCAGAAACAAGACCAGAGCGUUCUUGUCAGUCAGCCAAGGUCGCACCUCAUCCUCAGCCUUGUGGGAGUCGUGGGUGCCUGUGUGCGUGAUUACUAACAGGAUUUGCAUCCCAGGGAUUUUGUUUUGUUGCAGCCUUAAAAGCCACGAUCUUUCAGUUUGAUCUUAACUCUGCUUUCCUCUGGCUCCUUAAACUUUUGCUUAGUAGAAGCUGCAUCUUCAGAACUGGCACCACAGCUGUUUGUAAGAGCUGAGAACACAGGGGAAGUUUGCAGUUCACACCCUGACAGGUUACAGCCACGUUUACUUGCUCUUAUUUCUGGAAUAGUGAGUACACGGUGUGCUCUACCUUCAGGAAUGUUCCCGUUAGGAACCUGUAAGCCCGAACUGUAGAGAAACUUGCUGUCAUCACCCAGCAGGGCCCCCAGGACUACUGUCUUCCAUUCAUUAGGAAUCCACCAGAUGUCUAGUAUCUUAGGGCAGGAGGCUGGUAAGGUCAGAGCUCGCUGCCCUCUGCCUUUUUCUCAUUUCACAGAUAAGGAAACUGAGGCUCAGGUAGUCUUACAGACUUGCUGAAGCCUUUUCCAGGAACACACCAGUAGGGGCUCACUUUGCCUCUCCCCCAACGUGAUCACAGGCUCACUGCAUUGCAUUCCACUUAGGUCAAGCACCUCUUUCUGCCUCUCACCUUUUCCCUGGGGGAGAAGUAGAGCCCAAACAUGCCAAACCUUUACUUUUCACCUAAACUUGAUCAGGCCACUGAUUUAGAAAUUGAAGUGAGGCAGGGAGAAAGGGGGAGCUGGAGGAAGGGCAGCUAGAAAGUUGCUAGAGGUUUUACUAAAACCCACCAUCCUGGAUACAGCUCAUCUUAUCUGAUCUCGGAUGCUGAACAGCUGGCCUUGCAUCUGGUUUAUGGACUAGGCUGGUCGCUAUUGAGGAAGCCACAAAUCAGGCAGAAAGAACCCUCCCUCAGUAAUAGUCUGUUCAGG
rnacentral:lncRNA from 1 species